CUAAUCUUCUACCCUUAUCUGCGUCCUCCAAACCUUCCUAUCUAGGGUCAUGUCCUUAGUAAGCUGUAACUGCUCGCGGAAGAUCACCAAGUUGAAAAAUCAGAGGAGAAGGUAUUCAUGGCUUCACACACAUCACACAUUGAUCGAUAUAAUUGGUAUGUCGAUAGUGCGUGCACAAGGCACCUGGCGAUUGAUGAAAAUCUGUUUGUUAACUUGGACAGGUCUGAUAGGAUCAAAGUGAAGCCUGGUGAUGGUGCACUGGUGCAAGCUCAAGGUAGAGAGAGGCUACCUUGAGCUAUUAAAAUGAAGGUUUAUUUGAAAGCUCUCAACUUAUGGGAUGUUGUUGAGAGAGGAGAACCUGUUGUCCAGCCAUUUAGAGACAACGCAACUCUCAAUGAAAUCAAAAAGUAUGAUGAGUUGGUGACUAGAUCUCCAAGAGCUCUCACUUGCAUAUAUUCAAGUCUUACGGAAGUGAUGUUUACAAGAAUUAUGGCUUGUGAAACAGCCAAAGAAGCCUGGGAUAAGUUGAAGAAGGAGUUUGAAGACAGCAACCAAUUGAAGGACUCGGAUAGUGUGAAAGAAUACUCUUCCAAGCUGAUGGAUAUUCUGAACCAAAUAAGGAUAGUUGGUGAAAACUUUCCAGAUCAGAAUGUUGUAGAGAAGAUCAUGGUCAGCCUUUCGGACAAAUUUGAAUCAAAAAUCUCAGCUAUUGAAGAGUCUUCUGACUUGACUAUUCUUUCAAUAGCUGAGCUGAUCUUUAAAUUACAAAUCCAAGAGCAAUAGGUAACCAUGAGAAGUGAAGGGGUAGUCGAAGAUGCUUUUCAAGUAAGGCAUAAAUUCAAGCAACAAAAGAAAGGUAGAAUAGUUUCUUUAGACCACUUUGGAGAGGUGAAAUCUGGUGGAUACCAAGGUGAAUCGUCGAGGAAAGGAAAAUUCCUACCUUGUGGUAUUUGUAAAAAGACAAACCACUUGGAGAAAAAUUGUUGGCAAAAGUCAAAAAGGCCUCCUAUUCAAUGUAGAUAUUGUAAGAAGUAUGGACACAUUGAGAAGUAUUGUUGGCAAAAGCAAGCUCAAAGUAGUCAGUCUUGCCAACGAGUAAAUUUCGCGGCAGAUCACCACUACCACCAACAACAACAACAAACCCAGUGUAUUCCCACACAGUGGAGUCUGGGGAGUAAAAUGUAUGCAGUUCAUACCACUGCCUCCGGAGAGGUAGCAAGGCUGUUUCCGAUAGACCCCCGGCUCAGGACAAAGAAUAAUAAGCAAAUUUAUAAUACAGCAUAAAAUGAAAUAAGUUGGCAUAAUAUAGAAGAGGCACCCACACAGUAAUACCCUAUACUAACAAACCAAAGGCACCCCCACCCACAUACCCCCACCCCAAAGCUCUCCUAACUACUGACUACGGCCCACCCGCAGGCACUAACCUUCUACCCUUAUCCACGUCCUCUAAACCUUCCUAUCUAGGGUCAUGUCCUCAGUAAGCUGUAACUGCUCGCGGAAGAUCACCAAGUUGAAAAAUCAGAGGAGAAGGUAUUCAUGGCUUCACACACAUCACACAUUGAUCGAUAUAAUUGGUAUGUCGAUAGUGCGUGCACAAGGCACCUGGCGAUUGAUGAAAAUCUGUUUGUUAACUUGGACAGGUCUGAUAGGAUCAAAGUGAAGCCUGGUGAUG
rnacentral:lncRNA from 1 species